rnacentral:lncRNA from 1 species
AUGACCAAAGUAAUUAAUCUCAGAAAGCAUUUUACACUGAGGAAUAAAAUGCUGUAUGUUGGAGGAAUUAAGCAGAUGUUAUAAUAUCUCCAUGCUAUCAUGCAGAACAAAACCUAGCAGCUGUGUAUGCCAUGAAAAUGAACUUAAUUAAGGAGACCACUAGCGGUGCCUCUGUCAGUAUCAAAAUACUAACACAAUUCAGGCAUAUUUCAUAAGAGAAUGCUUCCCAGCGUCUUCUACUCAGAAUUGCACUCCUGGCUCAAAAGCAGUCAGGUAGGAUGCCAGAGCAGCCACAUGUACUUUUCUGAAGCAGACUUUUAGGCUAACCCUAGCAGGCAGCUAAGCACCACAAAGCAGCUUUCUCUUUCCACUCAGAGGGAUGGGAAAGAGAAUCAGAAGAGCAGAAGUGAAAAAAUCUGUGAGCUGAGGUAAAUGCAGUUCAAAAUGCAGAUAGAGCAAAAGUCAUGCACACAAGCAAAGCAAUACAAGAAAUUCGUUUGCUAUUUUCCAUUGGCAGGCAGACAUUCAACCACAUCCAGGAAAGCAGGGCUCAUCAUGCAUAACAAUUUUUGGAGAAGACAAACAUCAUCACUCUGAACAUCACCCCUCCUUCUUACCCCCAGCUUUAAUUGCUGAGCACAAUACCAUAUGGCAUGGGGCAUUGCUUUGGCCAGUCUGAGUCAGCUGUCUCAUUUCUGACCCCUCCCAGCUCCUUGUGCCCCCCAGCUCCUUGCUGGCAGGGCAACGUGAGGAACAGGAAAGUUCCUGGCUCUAGCACUGAGCAAGGACUUCACAUCUUGUGGAUCAACUGCUGCUAAGUAGUGAAAGAAACAUCAACAGCCAUUAACCAAUGAGAGAAAAAAGAGUGAGGGUCUGAUAUGAAAGCCCUCUGUGGAAAAUGCUAUAGAAAGAAGGGGAGAGGAGACAAAUGAGAUAAGUUUCCUGAGGUUCUGUGAAAGCUGGAGCAGAAAAAGUGUCAUGUCUGUAAAUGAUGUUUGUACCCUCCUGAGACCCUCUUUGUGCUGAUGUGACCGCCCAGUAAACUAUGAGGGAACAGAGUCAGCUAAGAAAUGACCUACCAAAAAACGUGCAGUAGCAGUGCAUAGCAGUGGUGGCUGUGAAUACUCUUGUGUGAUGAAGGCUGGAUGAUAACAAAGCUACAGUAGUGACACCAAAAGAAAUAUGCACCAAACUAUGAGAGGCUCCAUAUCCCUUAAAGAUGUUGACAAAACUGGCUUUGUUGAACAAGACCUUCAGUAUGAAUGUAUUAUUUUGAAGCAUGGCUCUUUAUUUCCUACUUUUCUUUUUUUUUCCUAUGGCCAGAUCAGUUCUCCCAUACAGGUCAUAACGUGGCUACACAGGUAGCUACUGGCUCAUGGGCAAAGGCAGCAGGAAAUAGAAAUGGAACUUAGCAUAUGGUCAGUGGCAACCAGGGUGGAGCAUAGCAGAUGCAGACAACAACAUGUUUUCUAUGUAUUUGCACUGAUGUAUGUGGAAGGAACAGCCUUGUUUCCCAUGAAAACAAGAUGUUAACUGUAGAGUUAACAUCAUUCACUGUUUGUGUCCGAAAAAUAUUAAAGAAAUCGGCGUGAGCAGCAGUAGUCACAUAGAGCAGCUCUUUCUGUGUGUUGCUUUCCAGUAACAUUCUACGUAGCUGUGGUUGUCAAACCCUGGCAGAAGUACAGGGAUAUAGAGAUGAAACCUUUAGUGUGCCUGUGAAGAAAACAAUACAUAUUUCUUUGGUCAGCUUUAGAAAAAAAAAGACGAAAAAGAUGUUCAGAAAAAAGUGUUUCUGUGGCAAUUAGGAAGACACAGUUGUUUGCAGUGUGAUCUCAGGAACCAGUCCUGUUUGAAGGACACUUGUUCUUACUGUGGCUCCAAUUCAGGAAGGAUGUUUUGUCAUUCUGUGAACCCACUAUACAGCUGGGAUUGAAUGGAAAGGAAGGGCAAUUUAUUUCUCCACAAAUUCCUUUGGAAUUGCUUUAGGCAUGACAUUAGAGCCAAAUUAACUUUCAAGAAGCAGCUACUGAUGAAAUAGCCUUCUCUGCCUGCAGUUCCCUACAGUUUUCCCUCCUGGGUCUUGCAAGACAGUUUGGAUGACCACAGCUGUUCCACAGUGCAGAUCUUCUCAAAAAUUGGUGCUGGGUGACAGACUACAAAGGCUGGAGUUGAUUUUGUACUUGAAGUAUGACAUGCGUGUACUCUGAAAAUUAGGUAAUUUAAAGCAGCCUUGGCUAGAUGAUUCAGUGGCAAAGGUAGCUGGAUCCUGUAGUUAGUACAGAAGAUGAAGGCAAUAAAUACUGCCAUGGCUUGGGAUGCAGCAUGGUGAAACAGAUAGGAAUUUCUGAGUCGUAAUUUUUGCCUGCAGUUUGUUGCAUGGAUGUUCAGCAUGUGGUGAAUCUGCCACAGCUUUUCAUUUUCCAUUAUUUCCAAGGAAAUUACACGUGAGGGGAUCUUAUCAAUGCUUAAUGGUUGAGGGUCUUUAAGGAUGGGGCCAAGCUCUUUGUUAGCGGUGCCCAAUGAUGGAGGACAACGGGCACCACACAGGAAGGUUCCAUCUGAGCUCCAGAAAAUAAAUUAUUUACUUCGAGGGUGACAGAGUGCUGGAACAAGCUGAUCAGAGAGACUAUGAAGCCUCCUUCUCUGAAGAUAUUCAAAACCCAUCUGGACACUUGCCUGUGUGACCUGCUGUAGGGAAUCUGCUUUAGCAGGAGUCGGGCUGGGUGAUCUCCAGAGGUCCCUUCCAGCCCCUGUGGUUCUAUGAUUCUUUGAUUACCUCUUUCCUCCAGCUGGAAGAGACAUUUAUAAGAGCUCUAUCCUGUGCUGACUCUCUGCUCUUUGAUAAAAGCUCACAAGAGCUCUCUGAAGGGAUCCUUGGCUGUCCCUGCACUGGGGCUGAGGACAGACCCAGCCAUUGUGGUGGAAGAUGCUAGCCCCAGCUGCCUGCCUCCAGCAUCUAGCCAGAGGUUACACCCCACAAACACGCAGGUAUUUUCAAACCUCUUUCAGAUAAGAUCAGCUGUGAUAGUUUAUGCAGCUCAUUUUCAAUAGUCUGCCUAUGGUUGAUGUGUGCAUGAGAAGUGUUGAGAUGGGAGAUAGAAACCCUCUACAAGGAGUAGUGACAAACAGCUGAGGACUGAUUACUAAUCAAUGGCUUCUACUGGUGCAGCUAUUUGCGGAGUUCACAUCCAUCUAGUAAACAGAAGUUGUAAGCUUGCACUUACAAAAGUUAGUCAUUCUGAAUGCUGUCACUGUAAAAAUUUGUCACAUUGUACCUGGGUAUUUUCAAAUACCAAAUUCCAGUUCACAGGCAAGCACCAGAUGCUGUGAUAUGAUCCUUCCCAGAUGUAAAAUCUCUGGAGGUUCCAUGUCUACAAAAUACAAGCUACCCAGGAAUAUCCCAUUUCAUUUAAUACUAGUUUUGGAAAUGUGUCGUCUGGACAUUCCAAUAUAAAAUGUAACCAGACAGUGCACACGCAUAGACUCACAAAAAAGUCAGAAGCUCUUUAUAUCCCAGGGAACACAGCUGGCCAAGAACACUACCACAAACAAACAAGAAAACAGGUCACUCACUGGGUGCUUCAGAAGCACUCUCUGAGAUUAUUCUGCCUGUUAAUGCAUCAGCUCUGUGAUUUCUUUUUUACAGCUGCCUAUCACCUGCUAGAAAUGCUACCUUCUUUUCUACUUUUUUACAGAAUACAGAAUAAAAGUAAAUAACACAGUGGGGAUUUUCCACCAUCUGCUAUAGAUAGCAUCACCAGUGUAGUACAAUAACUAAAGUUAGAAGAAAAAAUGUCCAUGUCAUCAGGGGAGUGCUGGAAAUGGUAAAGGAUGGGAAAGCAAUUCAGAACAGUGUACCUGAUGCCUACAGAGCAUGUUUUGGGUACCCCAUCCCUGGUGGCACUCAAGGCCAGGUUGGAUGGGGUCCUGGGUGGCUGAGCUGGUGGGUAGCAGCCCUGCCUAUGAUGUGGGAGUUGGGGCUGGGUGUGUUUUGAGGUCCCUUCCAACCCAAGCCAUUCUGUGAUUCCAUAUCAACUUUGGUUCUUUUUCCCAUUUAAGGCAGAAAACAAAAUCGCGUAACUCUGAUUCCUAUAAACAAUAUGGACUUUGAAUGACUCCUAUGAUCUGAAUAAAGGGUUUUACAGGU